rnacentral:lncRNA from 10 species
GGAGGGAGGCGGGCAGAGGAGGGGAGAUGGGCACCCCCAGUCUUUCCAUCCUCCUCAUUCGUCUAGGGGCACCCGAAUCCCCUAUUCCUUAUUUCCCCUAUCACUCAGGCACUGGCAGGGUCCUUUGCCCACUCCUGUUGGCCGCUGCGGCUCCAAAGCGAGCUGGGCAGAUGUGCCUGAGACAGGUUUGACCAGGCAACUGAAAAGACAUCCCUAAGAGAAGACAAAGCAAAGGUAUGAAAGGAACACACGUCCCUGACUGACUAGGAGGAACAGAGCUGCCUGCUAUCUGGAACAACUUCCUCCCAGACUAAGUGAGAAAUAAACUUCUGUUUUCUAUA